rnacentral:lncRNA from 1 species
CUUGACUUUAUUUAUUUCUUUUACUUGUUGCUUACUGGUAAGUCUCUCAUCAAUGUAUUUACAUACUAGAAAGCAUGCCUAUAGGAUUAGUUGAAACAAUUGCUUGUUGCUUAUAUGUUGUGCCUUGUUUGAUUGUUUCAAUAUGUCAGACUAUGUGUGUGUUUGUCUCGUGUUUGGAUUGUUCUUCUAUUAUAUUCAACAUGUGUUAUUAGGAGGGGGUUCCGAAGAGUCAUCGGGAUGAUGAAAUUGACUAUGUUAUUCUUCAUAGCUAGUUAUUUUUCUUUCUUCUUAUGUUUUGUAUUAUUUGGUUUGUAAUAUUUGUAAAGACAAUAUUAUUAUCAUUGAUGUAUAAUAAAUUUGGGGGGCUGCUUCGGAGGGCGGGGACUUAUGUGCUCUAUGAACGGCGUAGAUAGGUACAACUUAGGUUUAUGUGCAAUACAUGCUACGU